AUGGCAGGGCAUCGUGCCUGCAUGUUUUCGGUGGCGUUGGCCCUUCUUGGAGUGCUUCUGGCAUCCAUUCCUGCAGAGGUGCAGUCCAUCGGCGUGUGCUACGGCGUCAACGGCGACGGGCUGCCCUCGGCCAGCGAAGUCGUGCAGCUCUACCAGUCCAACGGCAUCACCGGCAUGCGCAUCUACUUCCCGGACGCCGACGCCCUGCAGGCCCUCAGCGGCUCCAACAUCGGCCUCAUCAUCGACGUGGCCAACGAGGACCUCGCCUCCCUCGCCUCCGACCGCUCCGCCGCCACCGCCUGGGUCCAGACCAACGUGCAGGCCCACCAGGGCCUCACCAUCAAGUACAUCGCCGCCGGCAACGAGGUGGGCGACCAGGGCGGCGACACGGGGAACAUCCUCCCGGCCAUGCAGAACCUCGACGCCGCCCUCGCCGCGGCCGGGCUCGGCGGCAUCAAGGUGUCCACGUCGGUGUCGCAGGGCGUGACCACCGGGUUCCCUCCCUCCCAAGGCACCUUCUCCGCCGGCUACAUGGGUCCCAUCGUGCAGUACCUGGCCACCACCGGCGCCCCGCUGCUCGCCAACGUGUACCCCUACUUCUCGUACGUGGACAACCAGGCCCAGAUCGACAUCAACUACGCUCUCUUCACGUCGCCGGGCACCGUGGUGCAGGACGGCGGCAACGCGUACCAGAACCUGUUCGACGCCCUCGUCGACACGUUCUACUCCGCGCUCGAGAGCGCCGGCGCCGGGAGCGUCAACGUGGUGGUGUCGGAGAGCGGGUGGCCCUCAGCCGGCGGCACGGCGGCGACCACGGACAACGCGCAGACGUACAACCAGAACCUGAUCAAACAUGUCGGGCAAGGGACGCCCAAGAGGCCCAGCGCCAUCGAGGCCUACGUGUUCGCCAUGUUCAACGAGGAUAAGAAGGGCCCGGCUGAGAUCGAGAAGCACUUUGGGCUCUUCAACCCGGACAAAUCGCCGGCGUAUCCCAUCAGUUUCUAG
rnacentral:rRNA from 1 species